rnacentral:rRNA from 1 species
UAGGCGUAAAUGAUGCGAGUUAAGUGUGGGGGCAUCUACGAGAUGGCCCUGUGCUGUAGGGUAGCCGUUAAACUCGCUGCCUGGGGAGUACGGUCGCAAGGCUGAAACUUAAAGAAUUGGCGGGGGAGCACCACAAGAGGUGGAGGCUGCGGUUCAAUUGGACUCAACGCCGGAAACUCAUCGGGAGCGACAGCAGUAUGAUUGCCAGGUUGAUGACCUUGCUUGACAAGCUGAGAGGAGGUGCAUGGCGUAGUCGUGU